rnacentral:lncRNA from 1 species
UACCACGUUUCAAAUCCCAACGGCUCCGGACGCCUGAAUGGAGCCUCGCUCCCUCUGUCCCGCCCUUCCCAGAUCUAAGCCCACCCACUGGCGCUAUGGCGGCCUUCCCGCGGAUCGCGGCGCACUGCAGCCAGAAAGAGGGGGAAAGCGACACCAAGAAUCCAUUCCAAACGAAAAACCAAGAGGAGACGCGGCAGCUCCUAGAUGUUGAUGUUUUGUUUUUUUGACAUAAAUCUUCGCACUCAUAUGGGAGUUUUCAUUGA